rnacentral:rRNA from 1 species
AAGGAGUGAAAACAACUACCUAAGCACUAAUACCUUCCAAGGUUAAAACUUAAAAAGCAUGGCGGCGGAAAAAAAAUUUAGGGGAACUUACCAGGUAAUUGACAACCCCCAAGGGAAGUUACCUUUAUUUAGAGUUUGUAUACCGCCGUUUAGGACCCUCUUACGGAGGGUCCGAGAAGAUUAUUCAUCAAGAAAACAGGUCAUGGUGCAGCCAAUAUAAAGGUCUUGAGGUGAGUUACAAUAAAAAUUUUUUUCGGAAUAAAAAUGUAAGAUUGAAGGAAGAUGGACUUAACAGUAAUUGCUAAAGGAAUACGCUUUGAAGAAAAAAUUUUUCGUGU